rnacentral:rRNA from 1 species
GACGAACGCUGGCGGCGUGCUUAACACAUGCAAGUCGAACGGAAAGGCCCUGCUUUUGUGGGGUGCUCGAGUGGCGAACGGGUGAGUAACACGUGAGUAACCUGCCCUUGACUUUGGGAUAACUUCAGGAAACUGGGGCUAAUACCGGAUAGGAGCUCCUGCUGCAUGGUGGGGGUUGGAAAGUUUCGGCGGUUGGGGAUGGACUCGCGGCUUAUCCGCUUGUUGGGGGGGUAGUGGCUUACCAAGGCUUUGACGGGUAGCCGGCCUGAGAGGGUGACCGGCCACAUUGGGACUGAGGUACGGCCCAGACUGCUACGGUAGGCAGCAGGGGGGAAUAUUGCACAGUGGGCGGAAGCCUGAUGCAGCGACGCCGCGUGCGGGAUGACGGCCUUCGGGUUGUAAACCGCUUUCGCCUGUGACGAAGCGUGAGUGACGGUAAUGGGUAAAGAAGCACCGGCUAACUACGUG